rnacentral:tRNA from 1 species
ACCUUCGUGGUGUAACGGUAGCACACUUGGCGCGUACUCAAGAGGUCGAGGUUCGAGUCUUGGCGAGGGCA